GACGUAGGGUCCGAGCGUUGUCCGGAAUUACUGGGCGUAAAGAGCUCGUAGGUGGUUUGUCGCGUUGUUCGUGAAAACUCACAGCUUAACUGUGGGCGUGCGGGCGAUACGGGCAGACUGGAGUACUGCAGGGGAGACUGAAAUUCCUGGUGUAGCGGUGGAAUGCGCAGAUAUCAGGAGGAACACCGGUGGCGAAGGCGGGGUCUCUGGGCAGUAACUGACGCUGAGGAGCGAAAGCGUGGGGGAGCGAACAGG
rnacentral:rRNA from 1 species